rnacentral:rRNA from 1 species
UACGAAGGGGGCUAGCGUUGCUCGGAAUUACUGGGCGUAAAGCGUGCGUAGGCGGUUUGAUAAGUCGGGUGUGAAAGCCCCGGGCUUAACCUGGGAAUUGCAUUCGAUACUGUCUGACUCGAGUCUGGGAGAGGGAAGCGGAAUUCCGGGUGUAGCGGUGAAAUGCGUAGAUAUCCGGAGGAACAUCAGUGGCGAAGGCGGCUUCCUGGCCUAAGACUGACGCUGAGGUACGAGAGCGUGGGGAGCAAACAGG